ACUCCUACGGGAGGCAGCAGUGGGAAUAUUGCACAAUGGGCGCAAGCCUGAUGCAGCCAUGCCGCGUGUGUGAAGAAGGCCUUCGGGUUGUAAAGCACUUUCAGUCGUGAGGAAGGUAGUGUAGUUAAUAGCUGUAUUAUUUGACGUUAGCGACAGAAGAAGCACCGGCUAACUCCGUGCCAGCAGCCGCGGUCAUACGGAGGAUCCAAGCGUUAUUCGGAAUGACUGGGCGUAAAGAGUUGCGUAGGCGGCUUGUUAAGCAUGUAGUGAAAUUUCGGGGCUCAACCCCGGAACUGUUACGUGAACUGACAAGCUAGAGUAUAUGAGGGGAGCUUAGAAUUCCUAGUGUAGGAGUGGAAUCCGUAGAUAUUAGGAGGAAUACCAAUGGCGUAGGCAGAGUUCUGGCAUAUUACUGACGCUAAGGCACGAAAGCGUGGGGAGCAAACAGGCUUAGAUACCCUGGUAGGCUCU
rnacentral:rRNA from 1 species